rfam:Oryza glumipatula chromosome 2, whole genome shotgun sequence.
CUUUGUGAUCUUCCACAGCUUUCUUGAACUGCACGCAUGAUGAAUUCCCUGUGGUUGAUUAUGAUCUGGUUUCUGAGAGAUCAUAGAUCGCUUUGGUUUGCAUUGGCAUCAGAGAGAGCAGUUCAAUAAAGCUGUGGGAAAUUGCAGAGA